AGAGUUUGAUCCUGGCCCAGAUUGAACGCUGGCGGCACGCUUAACACAUGCAAGUCGAACGGCAGCGGGGGAAAGCUUGCUUUCCUGCCGGCGAGUGGCGGACGGGUGAGUAAUGCGUAGGAACCUGCCCUGAAGAGGGGGACAACCCGGGGAAACUCGGGCUAAAACCGCAUAAUCUUUUCGAAGCAAAGCUGGCUACUUGUAGCUGGUGCUUUGGGAGGGGCCUACGUUAGAUUAGCUUGUUGGUGGGGUAAAGGCCUACCAAGGCUAUGAUCUAUAGCUGUUCUGAGGGGAAGAUCAGCCACACUGGGACUGAGACACGGCCCAGACUCCUACGGGAGGCAGCAGUGGGGAAUAUUGGACAAUGGGGGCAACCCUGAUCCAGCGAUGCCGCGUGUGUGAAGAAGGCCUGCGGGUUGUAAAGCACUUUUAAUAGGGAGGAAUAGUUCCAUGUUAAUAGCGUGGAGCAGUGACGUUACCUAUAGAAUAAGCACCGGCAAACUCUGUGCCAGCAGCCGCGGUAAUACAGAGGGUGCGAGCGUUAAUCGGAAUGACUGGGCGUAAAGGGCACGUAGGCGGUUUAACAAGUUAGAUGUGAAAUCCCAGGGCUUAACCUUGGAACUGCAUCUAAGACUGUUAAACUAGAGUUCACUAGAGGGAAGCGGAAUUUCCGGUGUAGCGGUGAAAUGCGUAGAUAUCGGAAGGAACAUCAGUGGCGAAGGCGGCUUUCUGGAGUUGAACUGACGCUAAUGUGCGAAAGCGUGGGGAGCGAACAGGAUUAGAUACCCUGGUAGUCCACGCUGUAAACGAUGAGUACUAGCUGUUGGCAUGCGACGACAUGUUAGUAGCGUAGUUAACGCGAUAAGUACUCCGCCUGGGGAUUACGGCCGCAAGGCUAAAACUCAAAGGAAUUGACGGGGGCCCGCACAAGCGGUGGAGCAUGUGGUUUAAUUCGAUGCAACGCGAAGAACCUUACCUACUCUUGACAUCUAUGGAACAUCUAAGAGAUUAGUUGGUGCUAGAAAUAGAACCAUAAGACAGGUGCUGCAUGGCUGUCGUCAGCUCGUGUCGUGAGAUGUUGGGUUAAGUCCCGUAACGAGCGCAACCCUUGUCCUUAGUUGCCAGCACAUAAUGGUGGGGACUCUAAGGAGACUGCUGGUGAUAAGCCGGAGGAAGGUGGGGAUGAUGUCAAGUCAUCAUGGCCUUUAUGAGUAGGGCUACACACGUGCUACAAUGGGCAGUACAGAGGGAGGCAAAGCCGUAAGGUGGAGCGGAACUCACAAAGCUGUUCGUAGUCCGGAUUGAAGUCUGCAAUUCGACUUCAUGAAGUUGGAAUCGCUAGUAAUCGCGAAUCAGAAUGUCGCGGUGAAUACGUUCCCGGGCCUUGUACACACCGCCCGUCACACCAUGGGAGUGGGUUGC
rnacentral:rRNA from 1 species